GGGGUGAAGUCGUAACAAGGUAACCGUAGGGGAACCUGCGGUUGGAUCACCUCCUUACCUUAAAGAA
rnacentral:rRNA from 26 species